UUGCGGCGGGGGCGCUUCGGCGCGGCCCUGCGCUGCCUCCCGGUCCUUCUUCGGGACCCCAGGCUAGCCUCAGUGGGUGACUAAGCCCCGCUGGCGGGCCGCGGUGGGGAGGCUCCCGCCAGCUGGGUCACCUCGCGUCUCCGGCUCUUCCGCCACCCCUGAGAUUUCUUGUGUCUGCCUGGAGCCUGAGGCCAAGGAGAGUUGUUACCAGAGCAAGAGAUACAGGAUCAACAAAUCGGUUUGAACCGGCCCCCCUACCCCCCACCCCCGCCCCAGGCAUUUUUCUGACACGUUUCUGGGCCUUGAUGGUUACUGUUACUUGCUUACUAUUGCUUACUAGCUCUUCAGGCUAAAGGGAUCCUUACACCCGUCAACUGCACCAGGGCAACUGGUUUGUACUGGCUUGGGCGGAAGAAAAUCUAAUCACUGUGAGUGAGUGCCUCAGAGUCUACACUAUGCUAUUAACCUAGGUGAAUAUGGGCUUAGAAAGUAAGCUGUACACCAAGUGUGGGGCUCAAACUCACAACCCCAAGAUCAAGAAUCACAUGCUUUACUAAUUGAACCAGUGAGGCACCUCCAAAACUUUCUCUUCUUAAUAAAGAAUUUCCAGUUUCUAAUAACAUGAACUCAAGAGCAAAGCAUUGCCCAGAGGAAGUUUAACAGGAUGUGCUCUACUGCAAUCACGGUGUUAAACAAGGAAAAGGAAGAACAGGAACUGUGCAGCAGGCCAGAGAACAGCUGGACAGGUGAGAGCCGACAG